AAAAAAAGAAUACUGUUUCCGUAGACAGUAGGUGCCGAAAGGUUUAAAUAAUUGCCUACCUAGGAAUCAAAAUAAGGUAAGUAAUUAUUUUGGUCUUCCUAUGUCUAUGGGAAGACCUUUAUUAAUAUAUUU
rfam:Clostridium disporicum strain 2789STDY5834856 genome assembly, contig: SCcontig000033